AUUGAACGCUGGCGGCAUGCCUUACACAUGCAAGUCGAACGGUAACAGGUUAAGCUGACGAGUGGCGAACGGGUGAGUAAUAUAUCGGAACGUGCCCAGUCGUGGGGGAUAACGCAGCGAAAGCUGUGCUAAUACCGCAUACGAUCUCUGGAUGAAAGCGGGGGACCUUCGGGCCUCGCGCGAUUGGAGCGGCCGAUAUCAGAUUAGCUAGUUGGUGGGUAAAGGCCCACCAAGGCGACGAUCUGUAGCUGGUCUGAGAGGACGACCAGCCACACUGGAACUGAGACACGGUCCAGACUCCUACGGGAGGCAGCAGUGGGGAAUUUUGGACAAUGGGCGCAAGCCUGAUCCAGCAAUGCCGCGUGCAGGAUGAAGGCCUUCGGUU
rnacentral:rRNA from 1 species